UCGAGGGGUUUUCUUCAGUUUGCAUACCUUCACGCAAACCCAACCCCAAAUCGACCCAUAUUAAGGUUAAGGCAUCUGUUCAUUCAUUGUCCUUGGAUAUGGAGGAUAUAGGUUGAAUUACUAGAAUGGUGGAAUGUUCGCUGGGUUACACCAUAAUCUUUUUCAAAUUUGUCACACUGGGGGUUUGGGUUUAAAUUUGGGAAGCGGGAAAAGAAGAUGUGGAGGCCAUGGUUUGGUCAAUUUGGAAGGCUCGUAAUGACCUCAAGUUUAAUGGAAUUCAAGUUAGAUGGGAGUCUUUGGUUCAGAUUGCUUUGUGGGUCAAAUAUAAGUGCAAGGAUGUGGUCUUUGCGGUGAAUGAUCUAGUGUUUAACUUGGCAGCGAAACUCGUGGACCCAACAAAGAUUGAUCGCUAGGCUGUCGUGAACUUUUCAGCUCGCUGCGAUAUCCAUGGCCUUGUUAGGGAUUUGAUUAAAUGUGGAGACAUGAAGGGAAUUCAAAUUGAUGCUCUGUUCGAUGUAUUUGAAGAGAGUCCACAAAAUAGGCGGGCCCCACCUCUUGUUAGAGUGGAAAAAAUGAUUGAAGAUAUACAAUCCAGACUUCCUGGGGCUCCUCAAUUUCUUCUCUGUCUGCUUCCAGAAAGGAAGAACUCUAAUCUAUAUGGUUUGUUUGAUUUGAUUUAUACCUUUAUCACACUUUUUCUUUUUCUUUUUUUUCUUUUUUUUUUUUACCAGCCACUACAACAAAUAGUACUUUUAAUAACAUAUUUUCAUAGCAUUUUUUAUUAAAAUAUUAUUAAUUAUGGAGCAUUUAUAGCAUUUUGUGAUUAAAUGACUUGAGGCACUAACUUUAGAUAUUUAUAGCAUUGAAUUGUAAUUUUUAAUAACCUUUUAUAAAAUUACACAAAUUAAGGAUUAAUGGCAUUUAAAAAAUGUUAUUGUUGGGAUAAUAUAUAAAAAAAAAAAAAAAAAGAAGUUAUAUUGAACCCAUAAAAAAAACAUUAUAUUGAAAAACCCAAAAAGUUCGGUGCGAAAAUAUCGCACACCUAGAUUAGAGAUAGAAACCUACUACAAGUCAGGUUCCUAAUUUCUGUCAUUAUGGACUAUGAGUAAUCACAGUGCUAGGGCUUCGAUACAAGUUGAAGGUAAUUCUCUCUCUAUCUAUAUCACUCGAUUUAUAUACAUAUAAAUACAUCUAUAUACUUAUUAGUUUUGUUUUGAUAGGAAGCCUCUAAAAAUCAUCAACCAAUCUCAAGUGAAAUAGAGAGAAGAAACAAUUCGAGAAUCAGAUUUUGGUGUUUUCAGAAAGAAAGGUACCAAACUAUAUGAAGCAAGCUUGAAGGAUGAGAAGACUUUAGAUCAAUGGCUUCAUUUUUAAAUUAAGCAAGUGUUUUAGUAAAUAAAUUUAAUUUUCCCAUCAUGUUUACACCUUAAAAAUAUUCUGUAAAUGACAUUUGAUGUAGAAUUUUGUGUACAAAGGACAUCUUUUUUGUAUGAUUCUGUGUUUGUAUGUAAUUAUUAUUUUGGGUUGGAUUGUA